rnacentral:tRNA from 1 species
UCCCUGGGGGUCCAAUGGUUAGGACUCAGCACUCUCACUGCCCAGGCCCAGGGUUCAACUCCUGAUUAGGGAG